rnacentral:rRNA from 1 species
UACGUAGGGUGCAAGCGUUUAUCGGAAUUACUGGGCGUAAAGCGUGCGCAGGCGGUUUUGUAAGUCUGUCGUGAAAGCCCCGGGCUCAACCUGGGAAUUGCGAUGGAGACUGCAAGGCUUGAAUCUGGCAGAGGGGGGUAGAAUUCCACGUGUAGCAGUGAAAUGCGUAGAGAUGUGGAGGAACACCGAUGGCGAAGGCAGCCCCCUGGGUCAAGAUUGACGCUCAUGCACGAAAGCGUGGGGAGCAAACAGG